rnacentral:lncRNA from 1 species
UGCGGCAUGUGGAAGUUCUUGGCCUAGGGGUCGAAUUGGAGCUGUAGCUGCCGGCCCACGUCACAGCCACAGCAACGCCCAGAUCUGAGUUAUUAUUAUUUUGUUCUUUUUUUUUUUUUGGUCUUUUUGCUAUUUCUUGGGCCGCUCCCGCGGCAUAUGGAGGUUCCCAGGCUAGGGGUCCAAUCGGAGCUGUAGCCACUGGCCUACGCCAGAGCCACAGCAACGAGGGAUCCGAGCCGCGUCUGCAACCUACACCACAGCUCACGGCAAUGCCGGAUCCUUAACCCACUGAGCAAGGCCAGGGAUCGAACCCGCAACCUCAUGGUUCCUAGUCGGAUUCGUUAACCACUGUGCCACGACGGGAACUCCUAUUAUUUUGUUCUUAAAGGUUAAGUGGACCAUCUUUAAACAUUGCUUCCUUAACGACUACUCCCCUACCCCCUGAACAAACUCUAUCACUCAUCCAGUCACUCUUGGUAAGUAUUGAUAAUAACUGGCUUGUUACCUCUGUGUGGCAGGAUUAAAGGUGAUUUUGGUCCUUGAUGAUUUCCCAAACAUUUAAAAUUUUUAUACAAUGAACAUAUAUUUUUUUCUAUUAGAGUGAAAUGUUAUUUAAAAUAUUUUAUAAGGUACCUCUUCAACCCUGCUCGAAAUGAAGUGGAAAUCUCACUUGGUUGAAGACACAGGAUGCUUUUUCCGUUUCUCUCCUCACAGUGGAAAGGCAUGUUGUUUCCCCCUUGGGCACACACUCUCGUUUGUUUAUACAUCAGAAUGGUGUUAGAGAGAUUAUUUUGUUAGCUUGUAAAAUACACACAGUUUUAUUCAUCCUUCUCCUUUUGAACUAUUGUACCACCAGGAAAAUGUGAUCUGUUAAAAUUUCCCCAAUACAGGAAAGAAUUUUAAUUUACUUAUGUUUUGGCUUUGAGAAACAGGAUUGCUUAAACAAACUCCCUCAAGACCUUGGAGUGUUGUGGGCCAAGCACUGGAUUAAAUUCCUCAAGUCGGGUUUCCUUACCUAAGUGUAACUGUAUAGGCGCAGGAGUGCUGCAUUCAAACAGUAUUUGUUCACCGAGCUCUGUUAAACCCUUGAAUGGAGCUUUAACCUAAAUGGGUUUAAUUCAGGAAACUCCUUCUACAAAAAUAACCUCAAAAGCAUUGUUACUCAAGAAAACCUUUGGCAUAGAGCUGCCCAGGCUGAAUUCCAGUCGAGAUGGCAUGAACUAAGUGGCUGUACGUGGUGUCCCUAGUGGCUCAGGUAAAGCCCACGGGAGGGGCAGGGAGGCUCUGACAUUGGCAAUGUCCCACCCAGAGGCCCAAAUCCCAGGGUCUCACAAUUUCCCGGCCAUUCAGCAGCGCUCAUCUAAAUCCCCAGAGCACUUAUUUGCAUAGAAUAUCCAUUCUGGUUAAAAUCUCCAGGCUGUUUACUUGCUUAAAGUUAAUGACUCUGUCCUGGAAGAAAGGCUCUUGGGAUGGAGAAGGGUGGGGGAAGCCUGGAGACACUCCUUACUGAAAGAAUCGGAAUAUGCCACUUCAUCCCACUGAUUAUUUUGAGUCGAAAGCGUUUGAGAAAUAGCAGGUGCAGGAAGGGCUCUCUGACCUCCGCCUUUCCACCUAAAAGCAGGUCAUAAAUUUCCAGUGAUAAAGUGCUCUCUCUGUACUAAAAAAGAGAACAUUCUUAUCACAGGAGACAGAGUCAACACCAACAGGGAUCCCCAUAGAGAAAUCUUACUAAAGCAACGCUUAUCUUCCAUUAUUGCCCCCAUAUAUUUAUCUUUCCUCAGUUUAUUGCCGCUAGAAGCACAAACCCCCUUUCCUUUGUCCAGUUUCCACAAUCUAUAA